ensembl:snRNA U6 U6 spliceosomal RNA
GUGCUCAGUUUGGCAGUGUCUAUAUUAAAAUUGGAACUAUAUGGAGAAGAUUAGCAUGGCCUUCUGUGCAAAGAUGACAAACUUUAUGAUGCACUCCAGAUUUUU